GAGUUUUGGUAAAGAUUACAAGCUUUGAUGGAAAGCAUAAACUAGCUGACAAGUGGGAAUCAACACCAUACACUAUUAAAGAUCAACCAAAUUCCACCAUUCCAGUUUAUGUCGUAAAAGAAGAAGGUUCUGGCAGACAAAGAACAGUACAUAGAAACCUUCUCUUGCCUAUUGGAAAUUUGGAUUUCCAACCAACAGAACCACGAGUUAUAAGACCUACUCCUAGACCCAGAAAGAGAUUACCAAGAAAGGCGAAGAGAAAUACACCGGAUACAAAAGACAAAAGUGACAGCAGUGACGAAGAAAUCAUAUGGACCGGUCCACGUCCACCAAACCGUGUUGAAUGAAAUAGUAUUCCUUUAAGUGUUGGUACAGAUCAGACUGACGACGGUCAGAUCCCAGCUGGCUGGACUGAACCAACAGAUGAAGACACAGAUGCGGGAGAGGACGCUCUCACUCUUGAAGAAAAGAGCAACACAUCUGAUGCUUCCCAGAAUUGUGAGCCAGAGACUGAAAGUCUUUCUCUGCAAGAUGAGGAUUCACAUGUUGAAGAAGCAGUUGAAGAAGCUGAAGUUGUUGCAGAACAACAGGCUGAUGAUGAAAAUGCAGAAGCUGCCACUCAAGAAGAAACUGAAACUGAAAAUCAAGCUGCAGGUAUCCAGACAGCAGAUUUGCCCAAAGAACCUGAAAAGCCAACAAGACCAGUAAGAGCGAGGACUAAACCUGCUUGGAUGAAGACAGGAGAAUACUCCAUGUCCGUACAACCUGCUAAAGAUCCAGAUUGGAUAUUAAAAUGUAAUUAUUUAAAAUCUCUUGUUUCAGAUAACCAUCUCUCCGGUGUAGACCAGAAGCAGCUGUCCUCUACUUUCCUUGAAAUCCUGUUGCAGAAAUGAUUUUUUAUGACUUAUAAUUCACUUUGAUUUUAUUUUUAAUUUUAGAUUAUUCGUUCACACUUCUAUAGAGAUGAGAUGACGAGGACGUCAUUUAAAAGGAGGGGAAGUGUGUGAUAGUAUUGAUUUUAUAUUGAUUUUAAUUUAUUGUAUUUUUCUUUCAGAUGCCAUUGAAAGUUAUAAAAUAACUUUCAAUAAUAAACUUGAUUUAAAAUAAAUAUGUUUUAUUUAAACAUUAAACAUGUAAAUAAACUUGUAACAAAUUACUCUAAUUAAAGUCUAGAAAUCUCUAGAGCCCUAAACUUUAAACUUAACUUUUAACCUUGAAUAAAUACAUAAGUAAAAAUAGCCAUUGGUCAAUAAUUUCCCGCCAAAACCUUUGACCCCCUUUGUCCAGUGUGUCCAGCUAAUUACUAGCCCAGGAGCAGUCAAAGUGUAUAGUUGUGUUUUUGUAUUUUUGGAGAAAUCUUUAAGACCACUGACAAUAUUGAUAAUCCAUAAGCCAUACACACAAUCAUGCAAUAUACAGUAUUAGAGAGGGAUUCAUACCCAUAGUCUGAAUCUGCUUUAUGAUGAUGCAUUUGGUAUUUAUGCAACUGUAAUAAACAUCAUCACAGUGAAACAUCUUGUUUUCAAUUGCUGCUCCCGCU